GGUGAGUAACGCGUGAGAAUCUGCCUUGGGGUCGGGGACAACCACUGGAAACGGUGGCUAAUACCGGAUAAGCCUUUGGGUAANAGAUUUAUUGCCCCAAGAGGAGCUCGCGUCUGAUUAGCUAGUUGGUGAGGUAAAAGCUCACCAAGGCAGCGAUCAGUAGCUGGUCUGAGAGGACGAUCAGCCACACUGGGACUGAGACACGGCCCAGACUCCUACGGGAGGCAGCAGUGGGGAAUUUUCCGCAAUGGGCGAAAGCCUGACGGAGCAAGACCGCGUGAGGGAGGAAGGCUCUUGGGUUGUAAACCUCUUUUCUCAGGGAAGAAGCUCUGACGGUACCUGAGGAAUCAGCCUCGGCUAACUCCGUGCCAGCAGCCGCGGUAAUACGGAGGAGGCAAGCGUUAUCCGGAAUUAUUGGGCGUAAAGCGUCCGCAGGUGGCGAUUCAAGUCUGCUGUCAAAGCACGGGGCUUAACUCCGUUAAGGCAGUGGAAACUGAAUAGCUAGAGUGCCGUAGGGGUAGAGGGAAUUCCCGGUGUAGCGGUGAAAUGCGUAGAGAUCGGGAAGAACAUCGGUGGCGAAAGCGCUCUACUGGACGGCAACUGACACUCAGGGACGAAAGCUAGGGGAGCGAAUGGGAUGAGAUACCCCAGUAGUCCUAGCUGUAAACGAGGGAUACUAGGUGUAGCUUGUAUCGACCCGAGCUGUGCCGAAGCAUAACGCGUUAAGUAUCCCGCCUGGGGAGUACGCACGCAAGUGUGAAACUCAAAGGAAUCGACGGGGGCCAGCACAAGCGGUGGAGUAUGUGGUAUAAGUCGAUGCAACGCGAAGAACCUUACCAGGGCAUGACACGGCCGGAAUCCCGGUGAAAGCUGGGAGUGCCGGCGGGAGCCAGGAACACAGGUGGAGCAUGGCUGUCGUCAGCUCGUGUCAUGAGAUGUUGGGUUAAGUCCCGCAACGAGCGCAACCCUCGUCUUUAGUUGCCAGCAUUAAGUUGGGCAUCUAUAGAGAGACUGCCGGUGACAAACCGGAGGAAGGUGGGGAUGACGUCAAGUCAGCAUGCCCCUUACGCUCUGGGCGACACACGUACUAC
rnacentral:rRNA from 1 species